CUGAUAUAUAUUCAUAUCCGCAUCUGUAACCAAUUAUUGUCUUUGCAGAAAGAAGCCAAAAAAGAAAAGGCAGUGGUUGACAGAGUUUUCUUUGCACGGAUUGGGCGGAUAUUGAGAAUAUUGGUUCCAAAAACUAUCUCAAAGGAGGUGAGGGUUCAAACAUGCUGCUUUCUUUUAUGUGACAUCUGCCUUUAUUGGGGUUAUUACCAUUUCUGACAAUGGUGACUAUCCAACGUUUGUAGUUGAUGUUUCUGAAUUAGCCGGCUUGUCUUCAUCAAAAGCCAGUCCAGUAUUUUGAGUAAAUUUGGUUCAUUCUUACUGAUUUAAUGCUUGGUUUGGUUUCCCAUUUCAGAGUGGAUACCUGCUACUUAUAGCUGUCAUGCUGAUUGCACGUACAUACUGUGAUGUUUGGAUGAUUCAGAAUGGCACUUUUAUUGAAAGGUAAUGCUAAAUAUUCUCCUUGAAUGUAUUUAUAGUUUAGAGACCAGUCACUUUUUUAUUUCUAUUUUGACCUACAGUUUUUUUUCCUCCUCCUUCCAUGAUUAAUAAUAUAACUAAUACAUUGCUGCAUUCUUUUUCGGUGCUUCAGCAUAUUUGUCAAAACCUAAAACGUUCUGUAACUAAAUCUGUAAGUGAGGUAGGGAUCGACUAUCGGUCUGGCCGAUAUCGGCUGAUAUUCUGUAUUUUCAGCAAUAUCGGUAUCUGCCAAUAAAGAUACUGAUAUUGCCAAUAAUGCAGACUAGGACUACCAUGUGUCCUAGGGGGCCCGCGGCGGUCCUGGGGGCCCAGCACACUCUUACUUACCUUCCCUUCAGGUCCCCUGUCUAAAUCUCACGAAUCCUGCGGCCGUCAGAGCGUUGCCAUUGGUUACCAUUAUAUGCACACUACACAAACACACUCUGCAUUCAUUAUAUGCACACUACACAAACACACUCUGCAUUCAUUAUAUGCACACUACACAAACACACUCUGCAUUCAUCAUAUGCACACUACACAAACGCACUCUGCAUUCAUCAUAUGCACACUACACAAACACACUCUGCAUUCACUAUAUACACACUACACAGACUCUCAAACUCUGCAUUCACUAUACACACACUACACAAGCACACUGCAUUCACUAUACACAUACUACACACACACACACACACACACUCUGCAUUCAAUAUAUACACAUACUACACACCCACUCGGCAUUCAAUAUAUACACACUGCAUUCACUAUACACACACUACACAAACACACAGUGCAUUAAUUAUAUACACACAACACACACACUGCAUUCAUUGUAUACACACUGCAUUCACUAAUCAAAUACUCUCACUACACAC